rnacentral:rRNA from 1 species
UACGUAGGGUGCGAGCGUUGUCCGGAAUUAUUGGGCGUAAAGAGCUCGUAGGCGGUUUGUCGCGUCUAUCGUGAAAACUGGCAGCUUAACUGUCAGCGUGCGGUGGAUACGGGCAGACUUGAGUGUGGCAGGGGAGACUGGAAUUCCUGGUGUAGCGGUGAAAUGCGCAGAUAUCAGGAGGAACACCGGUGGCGAAGGCGGGUCUCUGGGCCAAUCACUGACGCUGAGGAGCGAAAGCGUGGGGAGCGAACAGG